GUUUGACUCACUGAUCCAAUCGCAGUGGUUCACAGUUCACUGGAGCAAGGCAAUGGCUUAAGCUUCAGUCUGUUCUGUACUUAAAGCUAUUGUAUGGAUUCCGAAGACUUGGACUUUAGUCAUACAUCUAUAGAGUCAUAUGGACUACUUUCAUGAUGCUUUGCUUAUGUCUUUGGUGAUUUUUGCAACUUAAGUGAGGUCAGCUGUCAUUGUAUAUUAAAACAACUUGAUUGAAGAUCUUUACAAGUUUGGAGCGACAAGAGUGUGUAAGACCUUGCUGCUGACUGAGACGGAGAUGAAAAGUGGAGACUAGCUGCUCUGCUGUCUCAGCACCUCGCCGGACUUGUUAGCUGUAAAAUGCUCUUCUCCACUGUGGAUGCAGUCCAGGGGCCGUGCUCUAAUAUCUGGGUGUCGCUGCAAGCUGGCCCCCACCGGACUGACCCGAUAAAUAAUUGCCGCACUGAGCCACGGUCUAUUUUUAGAUGUGUGUUUAGGAUACUAAGGGCAAAUACUCUCCCUCUGUGUUGA
ensembl:lncRNA